UCUCCGUAGGUGAACCUGCGGAGGGAUCAUUACAGAGUUCAAGCACUACCAGCUAGAUCUCCCACCCUAUGUCAGUAUUACUUUGUUGCUUUCGCGGGCCAUGUGGCUCCGGCCCUACUCCCGGCCCCUGCUUGUAAGCGCCCACCAGAGUACCCAUAACCCGGGAUAUUUUUUAACUCUUAAUACUAGAUAAUAAUUAAAACUUACAAACACUGAUCUCUUGACUCUGGCAGCGAUGAAGAACGUAGCAGAGCGUACACGCGCACGUCUGAAAUCCAC
rnacentral:misc_RNA from 1 species